rnacentral:rRNA from 1 species
GAUGAACGCUGGCGGCGUGCUUAACACAUGCAAGUCGAACGAGAAGUGGAGACGGAAACCUUCGGGCGGAAGACUUUAUUUCGAGUGGCGGACGGGUGAGUAACGCGUGGGUAACCUGCCUCAUACAGGGGGAUAACAGUUGGAAACGACUGUUAAUACCGCAUAAGACCACAGCACCGCAUGGUGCGGGGGUAAAAACUCCGGUGGUAUGAGAUGGACCCGCGUUCGAUUAGCCAGUUGGCGGGGUAACGGCCCACCAAAGCGACGAUCGAUAGCCGAUCUGAGAGGAUGACCGGCCACAUUGGGACUGAGACACGGCCCAAACUCCUACGGGAGGCAGCAGUGGGGAAUAUUGCACAAUGGGGGAAACCCUGAUGCAGCGACGCCGCGUGAGUGAAGAAGUAUUUCGGUAUGUAAAGCUCUAUCAGCAGGGAAGAAAAUGACGGUACCUGAGUAAGAAGCCCCGGUUAACUACGUG